AAUGAUGGAAUGACUCUCGGCAACGGAUAUCUCGGCUCUCGCAUCGAUGAAGAACGCAGCGAAAUGCGAUACGUGGUGUGAAUUGCAGAAUCCCGUGAACCAUCGAGUUUUUGAACGCAAGUUGCGCCCGAGGCCAUUCGGCCGAGGGCACGCCUGCCUGGGCGUCAGUU
rnacentral:rRNA from 1 species